GGGAGUUUGGUCUAGUGGUAUGAUUCUCGCUUCGGGUGCGAGACGCCGCUGAGGUUCAUUCUCACAACUCCCC
rnacentral:tRNA from 1 species